UACGAAGGGGGCUGGCGUUGCUCGGAAUCACUGGGCGUAAAGGGUGCGUAGGCGGGUCUUUAAGUCAGGGGUGAAAUCCUGGAGCUCAACUCCAGAACUGCCUUUGAUACUGAAGAUCUUGAGUCCGGGAGAGGUGAGUGGAACUGCGAGUGUAGAGGUGAAAUUCGUAGAUAUUCGCAAGAACACCAGUGGCGAAGGCGGCUCACUGGCCCGGUACUGACGCUGAGGCACGAAAGCGUGGGGAGCAAACAGG
rnacentral:rRNA from 1 species